rnacentral:lncRNA from 1 species
GGGUUAUCAAGCUACCAAGCCAGAAGCAAUAUUCCAGUUGGGGAAAGAAGAACAAGGAAUAGUAGAGAGAGAAUUCCCAAGUUGGUGCAGUCCAGCACGAUGGAAUUUAGUCGCCAGAAAAUGACCAUCUCGCUAUCUGUAAGAAGCAUCUUCCAAGACUGCUGCUUCCAUGUGCACGCCUGGUUUCAAAGUCUGUAGACAUCUUGUGUUCCGCGAAGGUGCUACUGAGUCUGCACAAGAGCGUGACUACGGCAGUGAGUGAAGAGGCUACGGAAACCUGCUAGUCCUCAAGCGAAUGUUUGUGCGACUCCAGCUGUAGGUCCACCAGGGAUCGUGGCACGUUACAUAGUGGUGCCCCGAACAGCGACAGAAUCAGGUGCUCUACAAGUGGCACUCAAACAGGCGACAGUCUGAACACGGGACUAUGAGGAUGUGAAUGAAGAAGAUUUCCUGGAACAGAGGAACUGAAAUUGACAACGCAAAUGGGGACCCUGGGAUGAGUCAGCUGGCAGCGCACGUGAGGUCAGUGCCUAAAGAGGUACUGGGAUCAG